AGUGAACGCUGGCGGUAGGCCUAACACAUGCAAGUCGAACCGCAGCACAGUAAGAGCUUGCUCUUACGGGUGGCGAGUGGCGGACGGGUGAGGAAUACAUCGGAAUCUACUUUUUCGUGGGGGAUAACGUAGGGAAACUUACGCUAAUACCGCAUACGACCUACGGGUGAAAGCAGGGGAUCUUCGGACCUUGCGCGAUUGAAUGAGCCGAUGUCGGAUUAGCUAGUUGGCGGGGUAAAGGCCCACCAAGGCGACGAUCCGUAGCUGGUCUGAGAGGAUGAUCAGCCACACUGGAACUGAGACACGGUCCAGACUCCUACGGGAGGCAGCAGUGGGGAAUAUUGGACAAUGGGCGCAAGCCUGAUCCAGCCAUACCGCGUGGGUGAAGAAGGCCUUCGGGUUGUAAAGCCCUUCUGUUGGGAAAGAAAAGCAGCAGGUUAAUACCCCGCUGUUCUGACGGUACCCAAAGAAUAAGCACCGGCUAACUUCGUG
rnacentral:rRNA from 1 species